CUUUCAUAAAGGAAAAUAGGUACCCGAAAUUUUUUAUUUCGUGUUUAAAAGGGAAGCUUGGUGAAAUUCCAACGCGGUCCCGCCACUGUAAGUGCAGAGACUUCUUUUCUAUACCACUGUGAAAAACGGGAAGGUGAAAGAAAUCGUAUAAAGCAUAAGCCAGGAGACCUGCCUAUUUUAACAACACUGA
rnacentral:ncRNA from 2 species